AAAGGAAUUGACGGGGAGCACCACAACGGGUGGAGCUUGCGGUUUAAUUGGAUUCAACGCCGGAAAUCUUACCGGGACCGACAGCAAUAUGAAGGCCAGGCUGAAGACUUUGCCGGAUUAGCUGAGAGGUGGUGCAUGGCCGUCGUCAGUUCGUACUGUGAAGCAUCCUGUUAAGUCAGGCAACGAGCGAGACCCACGCCAACAGUUGCCAGCAUGUCCUCCGGGAUGAUGGGGACACUGUUGGGACCGCCUCUGCUAAAGAGGAGGAAGGAAUGGGCAACGGUAGGUCAGCAUGCCCCGAAUUAUCCGGGCUACACGCGGGCUACAAUGGUCAGGACAAUGGGUAUCGACACCGAGAGGUGGAGGCAAUCUCCUAAACCUGUCCUUAGUUCGGAUUGUGGGCUGCAACUCGCCCACAUGAAGCUGGAAUCCGUAGUAAUCGCGUUUCAAAAUAGCGCGGUGAAUAUGUCCCUGCUCCUU
rnacentral:rRNA from 1 species